AUGCGGCUGUUCCGGUGGCUGCUGAAGCAGCCGGUGCCCAAGCAGAUUGAGCGCUACUCGCGCUUCUCGCCAUCGCCGCUCUCCAUCAAGCAGUUCCUGGACUUCGAGUGGUGCCUUGUCAAGCGCGGAGGGAAUCCUCGCAAUUGCUGAAUGCGAGGCAGCUGGUUGUGAAACACCUUAAAGUGAAAAAGUGCGCACGCCAGUAUCAGGACCGAACGCGGCAUCCUAGAAGGAAAAGAAAAUGGAGCAGCAAAGAUGUUCUAAGCUCUCAAAGGAAAAUAAUGGGGCGGCUGGUCGUUUAAUGAAUUUUAAGUAAAUGUCAAGAGAUGGUGUCAGGGAGAGAUAAUGCAUGUGAGAAAACUUCAUAUAUGUUCCUACGAAAGGAGCUUCCUGUGCGCCUGGCUAACACAAUGAGAGAAGUUAACCUUCUGCCAGAUAACUUGCUUAACCGCCCUUCGGUGGGAUUGGUUCAGAGUUGGUAUAUGCAGAGUUUUCUUGAACUUCUAGAAUAUGAAAAUAAGAGCCCUGAAGAUCCACAGGUCUUGGAUAACUUUCUACAAGUUCUAAUUAAAGUCAGAAAUAGACACAAUGAUGUGGUUCCUACAAUGGCCCAAGGAGUGAUCGAGUACAAGGAGAAGUUUGGGUUUGACCCGUUCAUUAGUAGUAACAUCCAGUAUUUUCUGGACCGGUUUUAUACCAACCGCAUCUCUUUCCGUAUGCUCAUUAACCAGCACACACUUCUGUUUGGAGGUGACACCAAUCCUGCACACCCCAAACACAUAGGAAGCAUUGAUCCCACCUGCAAUGUGGCUGAUGUUGUGAAAGAUGCAUAUGAAACCGCUAAGAUGCUUUGUGAACAGUAUUAUCUGGUAGCUCCAGAGCUGGAAGUUGAAGAAUUCAAUGCCAAAGCUCCAGACAAACCUAUUCAGGUAGUUUAUGUGCCCUCACAUCUGUUUCACAUGCUAUUUGAGUUGUUCAAGAACUCAAUGAGAGCGACAGUUGAACUAUAUGAAGAUAGAAAAGAAGGCUACCCAGCUGUUAAAACUCUUGUUACUCUGGGUAAAGAAGACUUAUCCAUUAAGAUAAGUGACCUAGGUGGUGGGGUCCCACUACGAAAAAUAGAUCGUCUUUUUAACUACAUGUAUUCAACUGCCCCGAGACCUAGCCUGGAGCCUACAAGAGCCGCCCCGCUGGCUGGAUUUGGUUAUGGCUUGCCAAUUUCUCGCCUGUAUGCUAGAUAUUUUCAAGGAGAUCUAAAACUCUAUUCUAUGGAAGGCGUGGGUACUGAUGCUGUCAUUUAUUUGAAGGCUCUUUCAAGUGAAUCAUUUGAGAGACUUCCAGUUUUUAAUAAGUCUGCGUGGCGCCAUUACAAGACCACACCUGAAGCUGACGAUUGGAGCAUUCCCAGCAGUGAACCCAGGGAUGCUUCCAAAUACAAGGCGAAACAGUAUUGUGAUGAACCUCUGCAGUAUUGCUGGACUGGCCUCUGACCUCGAUGAAAUUUAGAAGCGUUUGAUUUGUGCACAUGAGUGUGAGCAUACACACAGGUGUGUGUACACACGUACACACCCUGGCCAAGAUUAAGCUAAGUCAGCUUGAAACACCUGGAUCAAUUUCCCUUGAUUCCGUUUUCAAUCCAAAUGUACGUCAAGCACCAUGUUGGGCAUCAGUGGACAAGAUCAAGACUAACAGAACUUUGUAAAGAACUGAAUGCUUCGGUCCUCUCCAUGAAGAGAAGAUGGUCUUCUGCAAGUCACCCAGAAAGAACUCCUUUCCUCCACCAACUCUGCGUGUGGCACUAUAGUUAAUCCAGUGCUUGAAUGUGUAUUUUCUCCGUAUGAGCUGGACCUUUUCCACAGAAGUUUUCUGUAGCUACUUCAGAUCUUCCACUAAAGUAGUAACUCGAGUCAUUUUUCGUAGUACGUUGCAGUGGUUUGGUUGGCACCUGACAGAAGGGGGCACAGAGCCUCAUUAGUGCUCAUGUCUUCAUACCUCUGUCCUGGUUAUCAUAGAGUAUGUACAGUCUCCCCAGAUGUCUCAGCUCCCUCCCUGUUCCAGCCCAUCUCUCCUGUUGCUCUCUGAGACCAAAUACCAUGUUUGUCGCAAACCACCAGCUAAGGCCUGGGGAGCCUGGAAGUUGAAGACAUCAGCUGAGCAUAUCUUGAUAAUUAGAUUCCAAGGCCCUUCCUCUCUCUCAGGCAUCCCUCCUCACUCUUUGAUUUAGAUGUUGGCCUUCUUCCAUCUGACCAGAUUCUAAUUGUGAGGUGUGGGUACUUUCUUGUUAGAUCUUCCUCUUGGAUGCAUAGAUUUUAUUUUGAAAUUCUUUUGUGUACUUCCAUUCUGUCGAUUAAAGCAUACCAAAAAUU